CACGUAGGGAGCAAGCGUUGUCCGGAUUUAUUGGGCGUAAAGAGCUCGUAGGUGGUUCGGUAAGUCAGGUGUGAAACCUCCAGGCUCAACCUGGAGACGCCACUUGAUACUGCUGUGACUGGAGUCCGGUAGGGGAGCGUGGAAUUCCUGGUGUAGCGGUGAAAUGCGCGGAUAUCAGGAGGAACACCAGCGGCGAAGGCGGCGCUCUGGGCCGGUACUGACACUGAGGAGCGAAAGCGUGGGUAGCAAACAGG
rnacentral:rRNA from 1 species